rnacentral:rRNA from 1 species
UACGUAGGGUGCAAGCGUUGUCCGGAAUUACUGGGCGUAAAGGGCGCGUAGGCGGCCACCUAAGUCAGACGUGAAAUCCCUCGGCUCAACCGGGGAACUGCGUCUGAUACUGGGUGGCUUGAAUCCGGGAGAGGGAUGCGGAAUUCCAGGUGUAGCGGUGAAAUGCGUAGAUAUCUGGAGGAACACCGGUGGCGAAGGCGGCAUCCUGGACCGGCAUUGACGCUGAGGCGCGAAAGCCAGGGGAGCAAACGGG